UUCAAAAACUCAAACAUGGUCAAUUGAACUCCAAGAAAUGGAUACAAGUGUGCUUCCAAGAGUGAAGAACACACUAGUCUUGCAAAUAAAAUAUUGCCAUCGAUAAUUCAAUAUUGGUGCAGAUCUAACAAUAUUAGUUCAACUUUUAGCAUAAGUUCAUCUAACAUGCACAUCACCCCACUGUAUCUCCUCUUAAACUAUUUGGAACCUCCAUAAAUUAUGUUUUGCUAUCAUGAAUCAAACACUUCAAGAUCACUAGCAUGCUUUAAAAUAAAUUGGAUCUGAAAAAUGAAAAAGAAAUUGGAUCUAGACUAGUUUUCCUCACCUCAAAAGAAAAAGGAAUUGGAUCUGGAAAACGAAAAUAGACAAGAGAAAAGUUUUUGAUCUAGAAAUAACAACAACAUUCAUCACCAAAACAGAGUGGAAAAUGAAAAUAGAACAGAGAAAAAGUUAUUUCAUUCAUAGAUUUAGGCCUGUACUCCGGCGACAGUAGGACAGCGACGAUGGGCAGUGGUGGUAACCACCGUCCUUCUUCAUCUUUAUUUUUGUCGAAUCUGGUGAUCUGAAUUCCUUGAAGGUUGUUGGUGGUGGUGAGUAAAGAGAGGACAAAGGCGUUCAAGGGAGGAUGAGGACGGUGAUUGAAGUCGACGACAAGAAGAGUGGGGAUGGACGUAGAUUUGAGACGGUGGGUGUGGUGCUAUUUCCGGUGGUGAAGAGUGGGAAUGGAGGAGAGAGAAGAGUGGUAGGAGAGUGUGUGAAAAAUAUCUAGUGUUAACAGUCUAUGAUAAUACCAUGUUCUCCAUUUGAUCUAAUAGUCAAAAUCAACUUUCCUAUGGUGGGAAACUAGUCCCCUUUCCUAGGUUAAACGACACCCACAAACGAAGGUGCAAACAAGGUUUUGUAC
rnacentral:lncRNA from 1 species